rnacentral:rRNA from 1 species
UACAAUACAAUAAGCGGAGGAAAAGAAACCAACAGGGAUUCCCUUAGUAACGGCGAGUGAAGCGGCAACAGCUCAAAUUUGAAAGCUGGCUCCUUUGGAGUCCGCGUUGUAAUUUGUAGAGGAUGAUUCGGCAAGGGCUCCCGCCUAAGUCUCCUGGAACGGAGCGUCAUAGAGGGUGAGAAUCCCGUAUGCGGUGGGCUGCCUAAGCCAUGUGAAUCUCCUUCGACGAGUCGAGUUGUUUGGGAAUGCAGCUCUAAAUGGGAGGUAAAUUUCUUCUAAAGCUAAAUACCGGCCAGAGACCGAUAGCGCACAAGUAGAGUGAUCGAAAGAUGAAAAGCACUUUGGAAAGAGAGUUAAAAAGUACGUGAAAUUGUUGAAAGGGAAGCGCUUGCAGCCAGACUUGUCCGCAGUUGCUCAGCCGGUCUCCUGACCGGUGUACUCUUCUGCGGCCAGGCCAGCAUCAGUUCGGGCGGUCGGAUAAAGACCUCGGGAAUGUAGCUCCUCUCGGGGAGUGUUAUAGCCCGGGGUGGAAUGCGGCCAGCCUGGACUGAGGAUCUCGCUUCGGCUAGGAUGCUGGCGUAAUGGCUGUAAGCGGCCCGUCUUGAAACACGGACCAAGGAGUCUAACAUCUAUGCGAGUGUUUGGGUGUCAAACCCAUGCGCGUAAUGAAAGUGAACGGAGGUGGGAACCCUCACGGGUGCACCAUCGACCGAUCCUGAUGUCUUCGGAUGGAUUUGAGUAAGAGCAUAGCUGUUGGGACCCGAAAGAUGGUGAACUAUGCCUGAAUAGGGUGAAGCCAGAGGAAACUCUGGUGGAGGCUCGCAGCGGUUCUGACGUGCAAAUCGAUCGUCAAAUUUGGGUAUAGGGGCGAAAGACUAAUCGACCAU